rnacentral:rRNA from 1 species
GUGAGGAAUAUUGGUCAAUGGUCGCAAGACUGAACCAGCCAUGCCGCGUGCAGGAAGACGGUCCUAUGGAUUGUAAACUGCUUUUAUACAGGAAGAAACCCUCCCACGUGUGGGAGCUUGACGGUACUGUAGGAAUAAGGAUCGGCUAACUCCGUGCCAGCAGCCGCGGUAAUACGGAGGAUCCAAGCGUUAUCCGGAAUCAUUGGGUUUAAAUGGUCCGUAGGCGGUCUUAUAAGUCAGUGGUGAAAGCCCAUCGCUCAACGAUGGAACUGCCAUUGAUACUGUAAGACUUGAAUGCUUAGGAAGUAACUAGAAUAUGUAGUGUAGCGGUGAAAUGCUUAGAUAUUACAUGGAAUACCAAUUGCGAAGGCAGGUUACUACUAAGUGAUUGACGCUGAUGGACGAAAGCGUGGGGAGCGAACAGGAUUAGAUACCCUUGUAGUCC